UUCUCCCAAAGUAAUUGCUGGGAAAAUUAUGAUGUAUCCAGGCCGUUAUCUUGCAACCACUUGGGGAUAAAGGAAUUGCUGUAGUUGGUGGUGACACAAUAAGGGGAUUUACAACUUCUGACCAGGCAUGGAUCACAUUAAUUGGAGAGAAGUUAGAUGCUACACUAGCAAAGGUUGUGGACAGAAUUCCAUUGGGAGUGGAAGAAAGGAGUUAAAAUCUUAUUCCCAUAACUGAAAACCUUCGUAGUAUAUGAUUUCUGAAGUUGUGUUAUUCAAGGUAUUUCUUCACAUCAAUAGAUUUUUCCCAAUACAAUGUUUGUGACUCAACUAGUAAUAAAUGCAAAAUAAAAAUGGACACACUAUAAACUAAUUAUUACGCAUUGUUCAGAAAACAACUAUCUCAGUGCUUCGAUUCUAAUAAAAGAUAACACUAUAAUGAUUCAUAUGAAAGGAUGAUUAUUUUUGUUAAAUCAUGAGAAGCAAAUCUAAUUGUCAAGAUUUGUGUUCAUUCUAUCAUUCGAGAAAGAUUUGUUGCUAAGUCUUCAUCAUUAUAAGGUGAAAAUGCAUGGUCAUUUCAUUAUUGCAUGGUCAAAAAUGCACACGUCCCUGUUUGCCUUGAUCAAGAUCUUAUUAUGUUCAGUAAAUGUCAUCUCACUUUGUGCUGUAUUGUUCAAGUCGUAUUGAAAAUUUGUCGAACUAGAAAUGAAGCUGGGAUUUGCUCCAGUUUGAUACUUAAGCUACUCGAAUUAUCACCAUCAGAUCUCAACCUGAUGCAUUAUCAAGGUGCACGAUAUAUGGAUGCAUUCAAGCUGUAUUCCAUGUUCCAGAAAAAUGAGACUGCAGAUGCAUCAAGGAAGAGGCUAUGACUGACCUGUCCAGCCACGAACACAUCAUCCUUUAAAGGAUUUUGUUUUUUAUUUUUUUUCUUAUUUUUUUUACGUAAAAUCUUGCUUCCUUUUAUACUACACUCAACAUUGAUGUAGAUAUAUUGUCUUACGGGGGGACAUGGUUCAGGUUCUUUUUCUUAUGAAAUUGCAAAUCAUUGUUCAAAGGUAUUUUCUGUAUGGGAAUAUCUAUUAUAUUUGAAUGAAUGUUCAUCAAUCCAGUUUA